GGUUAAGCGACUAAGCGUACACGGUGGAUGCCCUGGCAGUCAGAGGCGAUGAAGGGCGUGCUAAUCUGCGAUAAGCGCCGGUAAGGUGAUAUGAACCGUUAUAACCGGCGAUACCCGAAUGGGGAAACCCAGUGUGACUCGUCACACUAUCAUUAACUGAAUCCAUAGGUUAAUGAGGCGAACCGGGGGAACUGAAACAUCUAAGUACCCCGAGGAAAAGAAAUCAACCGAGAUUCCCCCAGUAGCGGCGAGCGAACGGGGAGGAGCCCAGAGCCUGAAUCAGCAUGUGUGUUAGUGGAAGCGUCUGGAAAGGCGCGCGAUACAGGGUGACAGCCCCGUACACAAAAGCGCAUGUGCUGUGAGCUCGAUGAGUAGGGCGGGACACGUGGUAUCCUGUCUGAAUAUGGGGGGACCAUCCUCCAAGGCUAAAUACUCCUGACUGACCGAUAGUGAACCAGUACCGUGAGGGAAAGGCGAAAAGAACCCCGGCGAGGGGAGUGAAAAAGAACCUGAAACCGUGUACGUACAAGCAGUGGGAGCACAGGUUUACCUGUGUGACUGCGUACCUUUUGUAUAAUGGGUCAGCGACUUAUAUUCUGUAGCAAGGUUAACCGAAUAGGGGAGCCGGAGGGAAACCGAGUCUUAACUGGGCGUUAAGUUGCAGGGUAUAGACCCGAAACCCGGUGAUCUAGCCAUGGGCAGGUUGAAGGUUGGGUAACACUAACUGGAGGACCGAACCGACUAAUGUUGAAAAAUUAGCGGAUGACCUGUGGCUGGGGGUGAAAGGCCAAUCAAACCGGGAGAUAGCUGGUUCUCCCCGAAAGCUAUUUAGGUAGCGCCUCGUGAAUUCAUCUCCGGGGGUAGAGCACUGUUUCGGCUAGGGGGCCAUCCCGGCUUACCAACCCGAUGCAAACUGCGAAUACCGGAGAAUGUUAUCACGGGAGACACACGGCGGGUGCUAACGUCCGUCGUGAAGAGGGAAACAACCCAGACCGCCAGCUAAGGUCCCAAAGUCAUGGUUAAGUGGGAAACGAUGUGGGAAGGCCCAGACAGCCAGGAUGUUGGCUUAGAAGCAGCCAUCAUUUAAAGAAAGCGUAAUAGCUCACUGGUCGAGUCGGCCUGCGCGGAAGAUGUAACGGGGCUAAACCAUGCACCGAAGCUGCGGCAGCGACACUGUGUGUUGUUGGGUAGGGGAGCGUUCUGUAAGCCUGUGAAGGUGGCCUGUGAGGGUUGCUGGAGGUAUCAGAAGUGCGAAUGCUGACAUAAGUAACGAUAAAGCGGGUGAAAAGCCCGCUCGCCGGAAGACCAAGGGUUCCUGUCCAACGUUAAUCGGGGCAGGGUGAGUCGACCCCUAAGGCGAGGCCGAAAGGCGUAGUCGAUGGGAAACGGGUUAAUAUUCCCGUACUUGGUGUUACUGCGAAGGGGGGACGGAGAAGGCUAUGUUGGCCGGGCGACGGUUGUCCCGGUUUAAGCGUGUAGGUGUGUGUUCCAGGUAAAUCCGGUUCACUUUAACACUGAGGCGUGACGACGAGGCACUACGGUGCUGAAGCAACAAAUGCCCUGCUUCCAGGAAAAGCCUCUAAGCAUCAGGUAACAUCAAAUCGUACCCCAAACCGACACAGGUGGUCAGGUAGAGAAUACCAAGGCGCUUGAGAGAACUCGGGUGAAGGAACUAGGCAAAAUGGUGCCGUAACUUCGGGAGAAGGCACGCUGACACGUAGGUGAAGUGAUUUACUCAUGGAGCUGAAGUCAGUCGAAGAUACCAGCUGGCUGCAACUGUUUAUUAAAAACACAGCACUGUGCAAACACGAAAGUGGACGUAUACGGUGUGACGCCUGCCCGGUGCCGGAAGGUUAAUUGAUGGGGUCAGCGCAAGCGAAGCUCCUGAUCGAAGCCCCGGUAAACGGCGGCCGUAACUAUAACGGUCCUAAGGUAGCGAAAUUCCUUGUCGGGUAAGUUCCGACCUGCACGAAUGGCGUAAUGAUGGCCAGGCUGUCUCCACCCGAGACUCAGUGAAAUUGAACUCGCUGUGAAGAUGCAGUGUACCCGCGGCAAGACGGAAAGACCCCGUGAACCUUUACUAUAGCUUGACACUGAACAUUGAGCCUUGAUGUGUAGGAUAGGUGGGAGGCUUUGAAGUGUGGACGCCAGUCUGCAUGGAGCCGACCUUGAAAUACCACCCUUUAAUGUUUGAUGUUCUAACGUGGACCCGUAAUCCGGGUUGCGGACAGUGUCUGGUGGGUAGUUUGACUGGGGCGGUCUCCUCCUAAAGAGUAACGGAGGAGCACGAAGGUUGGCUAAUCCUGGUCGGACAUCAGGAGGUUAGUGCAAUGGCAUAAGCCAGCUUGACUGCGAGCGUGACGGCGCGAGCAGGUGCGAAAGCAGGUCAUAGUGAUCCGGUGGUUCUGAAUGGAAGGGCCAUCGCUCAACGGAUAAAAGGUACUCCGGGGAUAACAGGCUGAUACCGCCCAAGAGUUCAUAUCGACGGCGGUGUUUGGCACCUCGAUGUCGGCUCAUCACAUCCUGGGGCUGAAGUAGGUCCCAAGGGUAUGGCUGUUCGCCAUUUAAAGUGGUACGCGAGCUGGGUUUAGAACGUCGUGAGACAGUUCGGUCCCUAUCUGCCGUGGGCGCUGGAGAACUGAGGGGGGCUGCUCCUAGUACGAGAGGACCGGAGUGGACGCAUCACUGGUGUUCGGGUUGUCAUGCCAAUGGCACUGCCCGGUAGCUAAAUGCGGAAGAGAUAAGUGCUGAAAGCAUCUAAGCACGAAACUUGCCCCGAGAUGAGUUCUCCCUGAGACUUAGAGUCUCCUGAAGGAACGUUGAAGACGACGACGUUGAUAGGCCGGGUGUGUAAGCGCAGCGAUGCGUUGAGCUAACCGGUACUAAUGAACCGUGAGGCUUAACCUU
rnacentral:rRNA from 1 species